GUCAGUAACCCAGCCCUAAAGGGACUGGGCUUGCAAGAGUAAUCAAGCAAGCCGUACUGACCAGACCACCCUGAGUUUACUCUCAUGGUAGCCGUUAUUUGAGUCACGACACCCACCGAAUGCGUUCGCGCCAGCGUGCCGUCAGGCAUAGCCAGUUCCCUGCCCUGUCGCUUGUGAUUAAACAGUUCUAAGGUCACUGGAACAGUGUUGCAAGCUCAAGCAAGCUCUUAUAACAGGUCGUUCGCGCAGCGUGCCGUAGCAUCGGCUAACAUUAC
rfam:Aphanizomenon flos-aquae 2012/KM/D3 spades_7_len_New_1:54156, whole genome shotgun sequence.